CCUACGGGGUGCAGCAGUGGGGAAUAUUGCACAAUGGGCGCAAGCCUGAUGCAGCCAUGCCGCGUGUAUGAAGAAGGCCUUCGGGUAGUAAAGUACUUUCAGCGGGGAGGAAGGCAAUGCGGUUAAUAACCGUGUUGAUUGACGUUACCCGCAGAAGAAGCACCGGCUAACUCCGUGCCAGCAGCCGCGGUAAUACGGAGGGUGCAAGCGUUAAUCGGAAUUACUGGGCGUAAAGCGCACGCAGGCGGUCUGUCAAGUCGGAUGUGAAAUCCCCGGGCUCAACCUGGGAACUGCAUUCGAAACUGGCUGGCUUGAGUCUUGUAGGGGGGGGUAGAAUUCCAGGUGUGGCGGUGAAAUGCGUAGAGAUCUGGAGGAAUACCGGUGGCGAAGGCGGCCCCCUGGACAAAGACUGACGCUCAGGUGCGAAAGCGUGGGGAGCAAACAGGAUUAGAUACCCUCGUAGUC
rnacentral:rRNA from 1 species